GACGAACGCUGGCGGCGUGCUUAACACAUGCAAGUCGAACGGUAAGGCCCUUCGGGGUACACGAGUGGCGAACGGGUGAGUAACGCGUGGGUGAUCUGCCCUGCACUUCGGGAUAAGCCUGGGAAACUGGGUCUAAUACCGGAUAGGACCACUGCCUGCAUGGGUGGUGGUGGAAAGCUUUUGCGGUGUGGGAUGGGCCCGCGGCCUAUCAGCUUGUUGGUGGGGUGAUGGCCUACCAAGGCGACGACGGGUAGCCGGCCUGAGAGGGUGACCGGCAACACUGGGACUGAGAUACGGCCCAGACUCCUACGGGAGGCAGCAGUGGGGAGUAUUGCACAAUGGGCGCAAGCCUGAUGCAGCGACGCCGCGUGAGGGAUGACGGCCUUCGGGUUGUAAACCUCUUUCAGCACCGACGAGGCGCAAGUGACGGUAGGUGCAGAAGAAGGACCGGCCAACUACGUGCCAGCCGCCGCCGUAA
rnacentral:rRNA from 1 species